rnacentral:rRNA from 1 species
UACGUAGGUGGCAAGCGUUGUCCGGAAUUAUUGGGCGUAAAGCGCGCGCAGGCGGUCCUUUAAGUCUGAUGUGAAAGCCCACGGCUCAACCGUGGAGGGUCAUUGGAAACUGGGGGACUUGAGUGCAGAAGAGAAGAGUGGAAUUCCACGUGUAGCGGUGAAAUGCGUAGAGAUCCGGAAGAACACCAGAGGCGAAGGCGGCUCGCUGGGCUUGGUCUGACGCUGAGGCGCGAAAGCGUGGGGAGCGAACAGG